CUACGGCGCUAUCGACAAGAUGAUCAAUUCGGGAGAGGUUAAAGUCGGUAUGGGAAACCUCUGUUACAGAAGGACUUGGUAUUGAAUGACAGCGCAGUGGGUGGUGUUGGUGCAGCGGACUCCUCCGUCGGCGCCUCUCCCUCCCGCUGCGUCCCUCUCUGGCCCGGCUCAUGCGCGAGCCAUCUCCGCCCGAACGGGAUUUGCUGUGAUAUACAACAUUACUGAUAGUAUUAAUUAAUUAUUAAUGAUAUUUGAAUGAUCCAAUUUAGGUUCAAACUUAUAAAAAAAUAAAUAUAUUUGAAUAUAUUUCUAACUUCAAUUUUUUUUUGACAGCCCUAACACACAUUUACUGCUGAUCUAUUCGCAUGGGAUAAGUAUUACCUGAGGGGGGUGAAGCAGCAGACCAAACUGCAGUAAGCCAGGACUAGGCCUGUGUUCCUCCAUCUAUGUUACUUCCUGUAUGUUUCUGUGUGUUCCUGUUGCAGUGUUCCUCCAUCUAUGUUACUUCCUGUAUGUUUCUGUAUGUUCCUGCUGCAGUGUUCCUCCAUCUAUGUUAAUUCCUGUAAGUUUCUGUAUGUUCCUGUAUGAUCCUUAGCAGAAAGUGUUCCUGUUUGCUCUCCUUUUUUUUUCUCCGUUUUUUUUUUUUUUAUAGUUUCCAAUAAAUCGGACAAAUGUCAAUUU